rnacentral:rRNA from 1 species
GACGUAGGGCGCGAGCGUUGUCCGGAUUUAUUGGGCGUAAAGAGCUCGUAGGCGGCUUGUCGCGUCGACCGUGAAAACUUGGGGCUCAACCCCAAGCCUGCGGUCGAUACGGGCAGGCUAGAGUUCGGUAGGGGAGACUGGAAUUCCUGGUGUAGCGGUGAAAUGCGCAGAUAUCAAGAGGAACACCAGUGGCGAAGGCGAGUCCCUGGACAACACCUGACACUGAGGCACGAAAGCUAGGGGAGCAAACAGG